rnacentral:misc_RNA from 1 species
GAUGAAGAACGUAGCGAAAUGCGAUAAGUAAUGUGAAUUGCAGAAUUCAGUGAAUCAUCGAAUCUUUGAACGCACAUUGCGCCCGCCAGUAUUCUGGCGGGCAUGCCUGUUCGAGCGUCAUUACAACCCUCAGGCCCCCGGGCCUGGCGUUGGGGAUCGGCGGAAGCCCCCUGCGGGCACAACGCCGUCCCCCAAAUACAGUGGCGGUCCCGCCGCAGCUUCCAUUGCGUAGUAGCUAACACCUCGCAACUGGAGAGCGGCGCGGCCACGCCGUAAAACACCCAACUUCUGAAUGUUGACCGCGAAUCAGGUAGGAAUACCCGCUGAACUUAAGCAUAUCAAUAAGCGGAGGA